GCUUGCUGAAAACAGGAAGAAGCUGACAGAUGGGUUGUGUCUACAAUGCCUGGCAUUCAGAAGCCACUCAGCAUGUGGCACUUCCCCAGCGUGAGUCAGCAGGGUGAGAUGGCAGGAACUCUGAGGAACUCUACCAGCCAUGGAUGGUACCUGGAUGUUAGGACCAGCACAUUGCUCCAAGCCAACCAAGGAUGCAUGAAUGGCCUGAGUCCUGAGCCUCAAGGACCCAAGUGUCUGACAUGAGGGGUCUUGCCAGGAGGAAAG
rnacentral:lncRNA from 1 species